CGUUGAACAAUCUAUAGCUCAUUUGGUCAAACUGGGGAAAGCUUACAAGUACAUCGUGACCUGUGCAGUAGUCCAGAGGAGCCCAUAUGGAUUUCACGUGGCCAGCUCCUGUUUUUGGGAUACAACAUCUGAUGGUGAGGGACCUUAAGUGAAUUUACCCAGAAUCAAAGUUCCAGCAAAGUCAGACUGGAGUUAUUACAUAGUGCUACUUAAAGUCUGAAAAGAUAGUAUCAAUAGAAUUGCUUUGUACCUAGUCACAAGUAUGAUUUCAGUCCAGUAUGAAAUGUAAAGACACCAUGUGUUGGAGGAAAUACUACUAAAAUCUUUAAGAGUAUGGCAUACGCGUGCGUGCGUGCAUGCGUGCGUGCAUGCGUGUAUGCAUGUAUGAAUGUGUAUGUGUUUAGUGUUUUAAAUGUGAGAUUUUGCUAGUAUAUCAAAGUCCUCUUCUUGUAUACUUUCAGGCACCUGUACCGUUAGAUGGGAGAAUCGAACCAUGAACUGCGUUGUUAAUGUUUUUGCAGUAGCAAUUGUCCUAUAACAUGUGACACAGUAAAUGUGUUGGGUUAAAGCCAUUAACUUAAGUUUGUGAGUGUAUCCUUUCUUAAAAGUAACAAUUACAUAUUAAUGUGCUAGAUGACAAGUGUGCAAUAUGCUUAAAAGCUAUCAACAGAGAAUUGAUAUUGUAAGCAGAAGUCUAAGAGGAAGUUGGCAGAUUAUCUUGUAUUCUAUACAGCAUUAUUUAAGGACAUAAAAUGUUAGCCAACAAUUAAUGCAGAGAUACGGCUGACCUAAAAAUAGAAUCUUCUAAUUAUACAAGCCUUUCACUAGUAUUAUGUUCCCACAGAGAUGCUGAAAUCUAUUUAGAUACUAACAUUAAUAACUAGAAAAUGUGACAGGGAUAAGUAUGUGCAUAAAAAACGACAAGGAUCAAUGCAGAGAAAAUGACAUGAAUUAGCUAAUACCUUUUUGGUUUAAGUUUUUUCCUUCGUUGAAUUGCAUAUAGUAGUUCAUGGAAAGUAAUUUCGACACCCACAUGCCAGCCCCCUCGAAUGUUGUCAUUGCUGCUGUGCCUAACCAGUUUUGUUUUCCUGAGAACUGGCAAAUCCAUUGAUUGUCAAUGUCAGUUUCUUACAUUUACCCUUGAGGUGGGAUUAAAUACGAUCAACCAGAUUUCCUGGGUGAGCAAAAUUAGUUUAGUGUAUGAUCAACGAUGUAUGACUCAGACAACUGCCUUAUAAUCCACUCCUUCCACGGGGGACGGCUCACUAUUGAAUGUGUGCUCUGCAUGUUUCUCUGCCAGGCAGACAACUCUUAACGUUGUUUCCCCAGGUCAAGUUUGUUGGCAGCUAGCUGUUCAGUUGGAAAACUGGUGUUUAUGUUUGAAGGAAAACAAAAGAAAGGAAGAGAGUCUGGCCCUCUAUGGGAAAAUUAACUAGAAAGAAAGCACGAAUUGCUGACAGAAUUAUAGAUGUAGUUUUUAAGGGUUGCUUCCCACAAAGUAAUACAUCAAAUAUGCAACUCUUACUUAAAGGCCUUAUUACUAGUCUCAGCUAUACAGUAAUAAAUUUUAUCAUUGAAUUAGUUUCAACUAUGUGUGAAUAAUUUAAAAUACUUAAGUAGAGUUAGGACAAGAAUAGAAAAUACAUGUAAAGUGAACAAUCAUUAGCAGGUUAUCUAAUAUCUCAGGGCUUAUGAAAUAUAGUUCAAUUUAUUAAUAAAAUCAAAGAUAAAUAUUAGGAUACACAGCUGACCACCAAAUGCAAAGUCAGUCUGCCAUUUAACCUUGAACGUGAAAUCAAUUUCACAUAUUACCAUUGACACUCAAUCCAUAUAAACACUGGAAUUGCAAUUCAUUGAAUUUUGGGGGUAAGGAAAAGUUUAGUAUUAGUGGCAACAGCGAAACAGGAUUCUUGUAUGAGGACUCCGUGCAUGGCUGACAUUUUUGCUAAAUAACUGUAAUGACAAGAAUGCAAAGGUAGGGUUUAAUGAGGUGACCUGUAGCUUUGGCACAUCAGGAGUUCUUUGUCAUUACCUUUAUGUUACUUUAUGCUGCUGGCUCUUGUACCCCAGGAGAUUGUAACAGUGACCAAAUUAUCUGUGCAGUUAAGAUUUAUUCUUUGAUUAUUAUUGUUGAAGACUCAUUUUAAAAUUAUCAAAUCAUACCUCGUGAGCUUGCUAUCUGCUGUUUCUAGUUUAAAAUAUAAUAAAGACUAUCUUAUUGUGCUGAAAAA
rnacentral:lncRNA from 1 species